AAGAAUUUAGUUAAUAUUAUAACAUUAGUUUGUCAAAUUAAAAUAAUUAAAUUUAAUAAUUCUUA
rnacentral:tRNA from 1 species